rnacentral:lncRNA from 1 species
UGUCUUUAUCCCGAAAGCAUGCUGAUCAUGAGCAGAAAGCUCAAUUCAAAAAUAAUUUGCAUGUACUUAUAUGUAAUGCACCAUGAAAUAUUAAAAGUAGAGGCUAGAAGUUUUGUUUAUUGUAGUAUAGAAUUGGAGUCUUUUGACAAAGGACAUCAUUGAAUCACCAUUUCUAUUCCUAACAGUACCACCAAUGCCAGCCUGCUGGUUAACAUAGUUUCUUCUCUCAUCAGUGUUUACCUUAAUUCAGUUAUUUGAAGGUUUGAUCCAAGUGACAAAAUAAAAGUGAAAACAAGUUUGUAUUUCUCUAAGGGAAAAGAUUAUGCCAGUUCCAUUUGAAAUCCACCUCAACCCCUAUAUUACUCAUGUGAAAUUUAAUAUUGAAAAGCACUUUCCAAGAUAUUCUAUAACUGGUAGAAGCAUUUUUUACCAUAUAUAGAGGCACAUCUAGCUUUAUAAAUUACCCAAUAGAUAGAAAUUGGAAUAAUUUGAUGUAAAUUUUUGUCAAAUUGCUACAAAAAUUAAUAGAAUUGUUUUGGAAUUCCCUUAAAAAUCCAUAAUAUUUGCCCUUUACAUGAGCACUAUGUAGUGAACACUUUAUGGUAACUUACUUAUUGUUCAAUAGGUGGCAAACCACAUUAGAUAUUGAAACCAUACUAGUCAAACCCCAUUCGACAAGCUCAAGACGAUGUGAUAGAUAAAGGCUGGAUUCGAUCCUAGAUUUCCAUAUGGCACAUAGAGAUACACCAAGAUUAGCAAAGUAGUAAUUCCACACAGCUUUGACUAUCUCUGUUUCAAGUGUAAAUAUGACUAAUAGUCUCUUCCUUCUAAUUAUUACUAUAAAAACAUAGUGACACAUUUUUUAUACCUAAUCUGGAUAUGAUAUUAUAAAUAGGGAUUUUCCUAUUUAAAAUUCUCCAUAGAGUAUGGGGUAUUUCAGAGGAACAUACCUAGGCCAAGUGUUAGUAUACAUAUUGCUUAUUGUUGAGAUGAGCACUAAUCUUUUUCAUUCUUUUAUCAGUAGAUAUGAUGAACAGUAGGUCCAAUGAAACCUGACCUGUAUCUCCUACAUCAACCAUUCCAGUAGUGGAGCUACUCGAAAAAGGAAUAGAAUAAAUGAGAGUAAGAGAUACGGUAAGAAGGAUAAUCCAUACCCUCUAUGGGUGAAGAUCAAGUAAUGGUUGUCAAAAAAUCACAAGAGGUCUGUAUCACCUCUUCUACCUCAUGAUUAUUUGUAAGAGAUAAAAUUAGUAGAAGAAUAGGGUAUGGUACCCGAGGUAAUGAUUUAAUAUGGGGUUGAGGGACUACGCUAUAUGUCUACUGUGGUUGUUUAACAAGUGUUAGCAUUUAUUAGUGGGUUGUUGGAACUAGAGCCUCACCUGUGGUAUCAGCUUAUCAGGAUCUAGUUGUUCAUCUUAUAAUCUCUAUGGCUCCUAUAGUGGAUGAAGCUUUUGGGACCAAUUUUUUUCCUCAUUUGAUAUUGGGUUUGGUGAUUACUGGUAUAGAAUAUGAAUUGCCAAUAAGAUUUCAAAAUAUAAAACCUCCAAUAUUCCUGGGUACUAAGUUCGAGGUAGCCUUUGAGUUUAUUAUUGAUCGCUAUACGAGGUUACAUAGAAUAGAGUGUUAUUUAUGUAUCUAUCUUAUUUGUGGUGGGUCUAAAUCUAGUCUGUUAUGUACGUGAUUAUCUUGUUUAUGUAUCUACUUCUAUGGAUGAGUCUGUGGCAGUUAGCUAUAUUUGUCGUUCAUGUCUUUUAUUAUUUAUGGGUUUUAAGAGUUUGGUAGACUUGGUUAUUUUUAAUAUGUUGGACUUUAAUAUUGUUUUAGGUAUGACCUGAUUAUCUCCAUACUAUGCAAUUUUAAACUAUAGUGCUAAAAUAGUGACUCUGUCUAUGCUUAAGAUGAUGGAACUAAAGUGGGAGGGAGUGUAAAAGUCCAAACCAAUAAAGAUUAUAUCUUAUGUCUAGGCUAGUAUGAUAGUGGGAAAGGGAUGUUCAACAUCGUUAGCUCAUCUUUGGGAUGUAGACGCGGGGUCACCUUCUAUAGAGUGAGUUUUAGUAGUCUCCAAUUUUUGGAUAUAUUUCCUUCAGACCUACCAUGUGUGCCUCUAUAUGGGUAUAUAAAUUAUUACAUUGACUUGGAGUCGGGUACUUGCCCUAUUUUUAUUUUACAUUAUCGGAUGGCUCCAAUAGAGUUGAGGGAGCUCAAAAGUUAGCUACAGGAGCUACAUGACAAAGGUUUUAUUCAUCUAAGUGAUUCACCAUUUGAUCCUAUUUGUCAAGAAAAAGAAUGGUAGAUUGAGGAUGUAAAUUAAUUAUAGGCAUCUAAAUAAGGUUACAAUCAUAAACAAAUAUUCUUUUUCUUACAUAGAUGACUUGCUUGAUCAAUUACAACGUACACCAGUGUUCCCAAAAAUUAAUUUGAGGUUGGGCUAUCAUGAGUUGAAGAUUAGGCAGAGAACAUAUGAAGAUAGCUUUUAGAAUUCGAUAUUGUUAUUAUAAAUUUUUGGUGAUGUCUUUGGGGAUGACUAAUGCACCUGCAAACUUUAUAAGUUUAAUGAAUGGGAUCUUUUAGUCGUUCUUGGAUUUUCUUGUUAUUAUGUUUAUUGAUGAUAUUAUUGUGUACUUAAGAGUAAAGAAGAGAAUGCAAGCCAUCUUCACAUAGUUUUGGAGAUUCUAAGGGAGAAAUAGUUACUUGAUAAGUUGUCUUAGUGUGAAUUCUAGUUGUCUUCAGUUGCCUUUCUUAGGGCAUAUGGUUUUUGAAAAAGAGGUGAUGGUGGAUCCCAGAAGAUUGAGGCAGUGACGAAUUGGAAUGGACCUAGUUUAGUGAAUGAGCUAAAAUGUGUUGUGGUUCUUGCUAGUUAUUAUUGCAGAUUUGUCAAGAACAUUGCAUCCAUUGCAAUGCUCUUGACAAUAUUGAAUCAAAAUAAAGUGCCAUUUGUUUAGUUAGAAUAAUGUGAAAAGAGUUUCAAAAGCUCACAAAACUCUUUACUAUAACACUUAUUCUUUCAUUGCAAGUUGAAGGUAAGGGCUUCUACAGUGUUUUGUAAUGCCUCAAUUUUAGGUUUAGAUGUUGUUUUAAUGUAGGAUAGGAAUGUCAUUGCUUAUUCUUUGAGGCAUUUGAAGCCUCAUGUAAGGAACUAUCCAACCUAUGACUUAGAGUUGGAAAAAAUGGUGUUUAAAUUAAAGAUUUGGAGAUAUCAUAUCUACGAUUUCAAGUGUGUGAUCUUAAUAAAUUAUCGUAAACUACAACACGUGUUUACUUAAAUAAUGGAGGUGGAUUGAAUUGUUGAAGGAUUAUGAUAUGAGUAUUUAGUAUCAUCUGAGUAAGGGCAAUAUGGUGGCAUACACAUUGAGACAAAAAACUAUAAGUAUGGGUAGUUUAUCCAUUUUGAGGGUACCUAGAUGACCAUUAUCUAGAGAGUUUCAAAAUCUAAUAUCUCUAAGCAAGCAAUUUGAGUCGAGGAUAUGGGUGAUGUAUUGCCUAGUGUUGAGGUAAAUUCAAUAUUCGUAGAGCAUGUUAAAGCCAAGAAAUUUGAGGAUAAGAAGUUGAAUACGCUCUAAUAUAAAUUUAUGUGCAAAGAGGUGGCAAUACGCCAAUCUUGAUAUGGGAGGGGUGUUGAGGUUUAAAGGAACAUUACGUGUUCCUUAGAUUAUUUAUGAUGUACUUUCAGAGGUCAGAGGCUCUCAUUGUUCUAUUCAUCCGCGUAUAACCAAGAUGUAUUGUGACUUGAGAAUGCUUUACUAGUUAUUUAAGAUGAAAAGGGACAUAGUGGAUUAUAUGCCCAAAGUGUCAAAUUAUUAUCAAGAAAGGUAUGAGCAUCAAAAGCCUAUGGGGUUGCUUCAGAAAAUCCCUUUACCCAUAUAGAAGUAGGAUCAUAUCUCUAUGGACUUUGUGGUGACCUUCCAAAUACUUUGGGGAGGUAUGAAUCCAUUUGGUUUAUAGUAGAUUGGAUGAUAAAGUUCGCUCACUUUUUACUAAUUCGGGUAGACUAUAGCUCUCAACAGAUAGCUAAUAUUUAAGUCAAAGAGAUUGUGAGACUUCAAGAGUUUCCACUUACUAUCAUUUUAGCUAAUAUUUAAGUCAAAGAGAUUGUGAGACUUCAAGAGUUUCCACUUACUAUCAUUUCUUACAAAGAUUCAAAGUACACUUCUAUGUUUUUGGGCAGUUUGCAUAAAUAUUCGGACAGCAAGAUCAAGUUUAGCAUAAAUUCACUCUUAAAGUAAUGGAAAGCCUGAGAGGUUGAUUCAAGUGCUAUAAGAUAUAUUUAGGACGUGUGUGAUUGAUUUGGUGGUCAUUGGGACCAGUUUUUUUUUUGUUGUGUGAGUUUUCAUGAAUUGAGGGAUAUGUACUCCAAAUUGAGGGAUAUGUACUCCAAAGUUGGUGAGAAAUUUUUUCUUAAGGUGUCUCCUAUGAAGUGAAUCAUGAGGUUGGUAAGAGGGGAAAACUCUGCCCUCGGUAUAUAUUUUGCUUUGAGGUUCUUGAAAAAGUGGAUCCAAGUGCUUAUUGGUUAGCUCUUACCACUGGAGUUUCAUGAAGUGUAUUUGGUUUUUUAUAUUUCAAUACUGAAAAGGUAUCGUGGGGAUGGAGACUACAUCAUUAAGUGGCAGUCAAUGCUUCUAGAUAAUGAUUGGUCUUAUAAGGAAGAACUAGUAGUGAUUCUAGAUUAGGAUGUUCAAUAAUUGAGGAUGAAGGAUAUUUAUUGAUGAAGGUGAAAUAAAAUCAUUGUCAAGUUGAUGAAGCAACUUAGGAGACCAAGAAGGACAUGUGGGAUAAGCACCCUCAAUUGUUUGAGGAUACAUGUACUCUUCUUCUUCCUUGUUUAGCCAAUAUUUCUCAUCUGAUCAUUCAGGGAUGACUGGCAUGUAAAUUUGUAUAUAUUGUAACAACCCUCUCUGUCAUUACAUAUGAGUCCUACGUUUAAAAUUCCAUGUCUGAAUUCUUCCCAAUUUAGAAGUUACAAAUUUCAGGCUAGGCUAGUUCUAAUCAAUUUCGGAGCAAGGUGUGACAUAGAAAAAUAUGAGAAUUAUUCCGACCAGUGUAGUUGUAUUUGUCUUGAUUUCUAGUUAUAUAAAACAAUAAGGAACCCAUAAUAAUUUAUGGAAUAGAAUAUGGGUAAGUAAAACUCAAAAUUGGUCUCAGCGUAUGCACUAUUUGGAAUAUUUUUGGUUUAAGGUGUGUUGCAAAAACUAAGAUUUUUGGGUGAAGAAAGACAUUCUAACUGUCAACGCCACUAUAGCGAUCGACAUACUGCAAUAGUGGCAAGUGCCAUAGCAGAGAAGAUCUCACUAUAGUGACGGUCAAGGACUUUAUUAAAUUGCUAAUUUAGUAAAAUAUUUUUUCAAAAUAGUUUAUUUUUCUAAAACUCAUUUUGAGGCAUGGGAAGGGGUAACAAAAUUCCAUUUUUUUUGUCUUAGUUAAGGUAAAUAAUUCAUACCUGUUAACUCGUAUUUAAUUAUUAUGCCUCAAAAUUAUUAAUUUAGGGUUCAACGAAGGUGUUAUGGCAAACUUUGGUUAAUUACUAGUACAAGGGUGAAAAUUUAGGAAUAAGCUAAUGUGGUUUGAUUAUUAAAUUUAAUUUACCCUGCAUUCUAUUAAUUCUCUAAUUUAUCCAUAAAAAUGAUAGUUUUAGGUUAAUUACGAUGGACAAGCCCUGGAACAAGACGAGAAUGAUUAUAAACUUGACCUUAGGUGUUGGAUAUGAGUUAUAAAUGCCUAUAUAUUAGGUCAUUUCUUUAAUUAUGUAUUUAUAUGCAUGUUCUAGACCUUGAGCAAACAAAAAUUGCAUGGAAGGGCAAAGCUUCAGAAUAGAAGAGUUGUGCAAGCUUGAUUCGAGGUAGGUGAUGGUAUUGUAGCUUAAUCCAAUUUAUGCUAUAUCUGCACGUUAACUACUUUGAAGUAUGACUUAUUAGUUCUUGUUGUUUGAUGUGGUCUUUGCAAAUGAUUUGUGGUUGUUAUAUGAUUUUUAUCUAAAUAUGGAAUGUUUGUUAUUUAGAACAUCCUCAUGGGCUUUUGAUGCACCAAGGUUGGCAGACACAUUUGUUCAGGAUUUUAGUACAUGGACGACAAUUGUCCCUUACAUGUCAUGGCUAAAGGGUGGUUGAAUAUCCGUUAAUAUGUAUGUACGAGGGUAAGGUUAGUUUAACGGUCUCUAAACCGAGAAUAUAUAUUUUUAUACUUAAUAAAUAGUCCUGAAUUAUUUUUGGCUUGGUUGACUCAACUUCACUAGGUGAUAAUUUGUUGACUUGCUCGUUUGAUUCCUAAUUGUUCAUUGUUGCUUGUUAUGCUAAGUGAAUGUUGUUUAAGCAUGGAUUUACUUGUUGUACUAUAACUUAGUUAUAUGUUCAUAUUCUCAUUUUUUAUUGUCCAAAUGACCCUUCCAGUACACUUUUGUUCUUGUGUACAGAUACUACACCUACAUUUAAAUUUGUGAGUGAAACACAUGUUACAGUGGAUCCUACGAGACCUCACUUGUGAUUCCAGAAGUUGACUCCAAAUUAUAGGGAGAGAAGCAAUCUGGGCUACCAUGAAAUCUUUUCUAGCAUUGUUUUUAGUUCUGAACUUAAAUUUUAUUUUAGUUUGGGAUGCAUCACCUUCAUGAUAUUCUUAGAUAUUUUGGUGCAGAUAGCUUUCGGAUCCUAGGGAUGGUUUUUGCAUAAGUGCCUUUCCACCUUUAAUUGUACUUAUUAUUUGGUUUUAGAUUGGAUGAUAUAUCGAUGGAUUAGUUUCACUUAUUUGUUCUAAGUGCGGUUUAUGAGAUUGUCGUUCGGGAUAGUUAGUUCUCCCAUCAAAUGAUUAGCAUGGCUGCCACUCACGAUGGGUUUGGAUCGUGGCAUUUCUUGUUUAUGAAAAUGACUCUAAGUGUCUGUUUUUGAAACACUUUCUAUUAUCGUCAUCAGGUAUGGCAAUUUGUUAGAACCGAAAGAAAUUGUCAUCACAAUAUAAGAAAAUUAUGAGAUUAUAAAGUAUCUUUAGUGAUUAUUAUCCGUUAUUUAGCUGUAUAUUUGUCUGCUGCAAACACUUACAUAAAGUCCCAUGAUAGAGUCAUCAAUAUAGACCGUUUGAAUGAUUUUUGAAAGGUGGUUAAUUAUUGUGAAGUGAUUGUUACGACUUUUAAAGAAAAUAAGUACACGUGGUCAAAUCAAUGGACAUCUUAAAAAUAAAGACAAAUUCACUUUUGAAAGAUUGGAUCAUUUCUUGGAAUACACUAAGUGGUUUUAAAUUUCUUGAGAACAAGUACACUAUCUUUCAUGUACAAGUUAUAUCAAUGACUGUUUUCAAUAUCUCUCUUUCAUAAUCAUAGAAAAGUACAAUUUUGUCAUUUUGAGUCAAUAUGAUCCUAACAUCUUGAUCUUAAAUGCAUCAUUAACAACUUACAGAAUAACAAAUAAUCGCUAGAUGAUAUUUCUUUUUUUGUGUCUAAAAAUUAUUUUUUUUUUAAAUUUUCAUCCAUUCGUGCAAGGUAAUCUCUCGUAGUGAUGUGGGGAUGGGGGUGUUGGGGGGAGGGUGUUGGAUAAUCAAAAGGCUAGUUUAGGCUCAUUUAUUAAAAAAAAAAAAUUCACUUUAAACAUUAUUUUUUAAUCCCAAAAAAAUUCUAUAAAUACCCUACACCUUCAAAUCAUAUUUCAAACAAUUUUUCACUUUCUCAAAUCUCAUUCUCUCUCAAAUCUCAAUCCUCAAUUCUCAAAUAUUCAAUAUAUUUAAUUUCUUAAAGUGUUCAUCUUAAUUUUUUAAUUUUUCGUUUACAAAGUACGAGCGGAUGUUUCUAAAGUCGCAACUUUCGGAUACUUCUAAAAUUUGGUAUUGUCGUUUCAUCUCUUACGUUUAAUUUUUAUUUAUUGUAUUAAUUGUUUAAUAUUUAAUUUUAUUAUAUUUGUGUAUUUUGAAUUUUUUUAGUUUAAUUUAAUUUAUAUUAUGGAUAAAUUAAGAAACCUCGCUACUAAAGGUGUUAAAAUUUUUUGUCCCGGAAGCGGUAGUAGUAGUAAAAAGCAAAUUACUAGCGGUAGAGGUAGUUCAAGUAAUAGAUAUACCUGUGUGCCUCCGACACCUCUUAGUCAUCCUUUUGAGGAAGAAGUAGGCGUACCUUUAGGUAUAGGUGUUCACGAUAUGGAUUAUGUAGAAGCUCAGGAAAAUUAUGGUAUAGAAGAAGAAAAUGAAGUAAAUGUGGUUAAUUAAGACGAAGAUAAUGAAAAAAUUGCUAAGACACCCGCAGUAGGAAAUGCUAACGUUAGAUCUGAAUCGGUUAAUCUCCCUCCCCAUGCCCUAAGACCUCGUAAAAAAACUAGUGUUGCAUGACAAUUUUUUGAACGUAUAUCAGCUAUAGAGGUGCAAUGCAAUAUUUGUCAACAAAUAUAUAAGUAUAAAAGUAGAGGCAAGCAAGGGGGUACAGGUACGUUAAUGAGACAUAUAGCUGAAGAUCACAAAAGAGAGUUAAAUAUUGCACUAGGUGGUGGGGCUGUUGGUGGGCCAACGCAAACUAGAAUGGAACCAACAACCGGUCACGUAGCGAAGAAGUAUAAUAAAUUGAGGGACCGGGAAGAAAUAGCUAAAAUGGUAGCUAUGGGUUGUUUGCCUUUUAGUUUUCCAUCUUCUGAUGCCUUUAUUCAUUAUAUACAAGCAAUUUAUAGUCCUAUGUUUAACGAUUUUCCUAGAAUUACUCGUCGGUCUGAUAUUUUUAGACUUCAUUCACAAUAUUGUUUUAAUUUAUCAACAUUGUUAAAAAAAUAUUCAAUGUAGAUUGUCCCUAAAUUCUGAUCUUGGUCGUGCUGUAAAUAAAAAUAAUUAUUUAACCGUUACUUGUCACUGGAUGGAUAGUAAUUUCAUAAUGCAAAAACGUAUUCUUGCUUUUUUAUAUAAUGAAGAUCGUAAACAUACUGGACAAUUUAUUGCGGAUUCUAUUGUUAAAAUUGCCGGAUAUUAUGGUAUUGAAAAAUAAAAUUUUAUGUAUUUUGAUAAUGCUUCUAACAACAAGACUGCUAUGAAAAAUUAAAAUCUACGCUAUCUCCUUCGUUGCCUGAAAUUUUUCAUGUUAACUAUGCAUGUCAUAUAUAUAAUUGAAUUGUAAAAGAUGGUCUUGAGUUUUUUGAGCUUUAUAUUGAAAAAAUUCGUCUUGUUGUUGGUUUUAUUCAAGGAAAUAAUCGUAGAUCGAGAAUUAGAGAAUUUAAAGUUAAAUGUCGAAAAAUGGACUUACACCGAUAUUGAUGCCUGGGGAAAUUGAUACUAGAUGAAAUUCAACGAAUGAUUUUUUAAAAACUUGUUAUAAAUAUAGAAUUCCUAUUACAUUUGCUUUUAACCAACAUUGUGGUUCAUUUGCUGAUUCUACUGAUUGCAUGCUACAUGAUUCUGAUUGGAUUGUAAUUAAUGAUCUUGUUAAGUUUUUAGAAAAAUUUUAUGUAGCUACAGUUGAAUUUUUCGGUGCUUAUUAUCCUACUGUUUGUAAUAUUUUGGCAUAUCUAGCCGAUAUUUCUGGUUUUCUCAGCGAAUAUAAAAAUAAAGAAGGUUAUAAAGAAGCUGUUGGUUCCAUGUUUACAAAAUUUAAAAAAUAUUUUUUCCCGAUUCCCCUUAUUUAGUUGGUUGGUGAUAUGCUAAAUCCGUGUAUGAAAUAUAAUAAUAUGUGUCACUUUAGUACUCUUAUUUAUACUAACUUAGAAAUAAAUACUAACUAUGAUUCUGAACAAGUACAACCUGAUUUGUGGACGGCUACAGCUAAUGCAAAGGAUUACAUAGAAAAAUUAUAUAAUCACUAUAAUGAUUUAUUUGAUUUAGCCGUACCUAUAAAUAUCACUUCAACUGUAGCUCCUCAUUCUCCUGAGGAACCACCAUCUUUUAAAAGGCUGGCAUAUAGUGGUUUUCCUAUUCGUUGUAUGAUUUAAAUUGUUGGAACAGCAUUGAUAAGAGAACUUAAACAUCAACUUAUCGGGAAGAGCUGAAAUAUUUUCUUCGGUCUGCACCAGUGGAUCGCAGACGAUAGAUCAACAUGUUGGAUUGGUGGAGGAGUAAUGAAACACAAUAUCUGGUGCUUUCAAGAUUAGGUAGAGAUAUUUUGAAUGUUCCAAUGUCAACCGUUGCAUCAGAGAGCACCUUUAGUUAGGGACGAAAGCAGCUUGGAGACAAACGACACUCAUUGGGAAGCAAUGCAAUAAAUGUUCUAGGUUGCCUCAGAGAUUGGAUUAGAGCGGAAACAAGAAAUCAAGGAAUAGAACCGGAGCCGAGUGACGAGCUGAAACUUGAAGAAAUUAUGACUUCAUGGGAGAACUCAGCAUAAUCAAGUCCAAUAAAUGGUUUUGCCCCCGUUGACUUCGACUAUCCUAUGCAAGUUCCGGUUAAUAUUAACAUGAAUGAGUUGGAAAAAAUGAUGCAUAAUUUAUAGAUUUUUCAUUCAUGUAAAUUAUAAAUUUUGGAUCAUUUUGCAAUCAAUAAAAUUCCCCAAAUUCAUUCACUCCUUAGUCCUUNNNNNNNNNNNNNNNNNNNNAAUUAGUAUAUAAGUAUAUCUAUAUAUAUUCUAAUGUAUAUAUAUUGUAGCAUAUUUUAUAAGUAGUAUUAAAUAUACAUUGAAUGGUGCGUAUACACGUGUAUACAUCUUUUAAAGAAGUGUAUAUUUAACAUAUAUAUGUGUAUAUAUUUUAUAAAUUAGUAUAUAGCUAUGUUUAUAUAUAUUGUAAUGUAUAUAUAAUGUAGUAUAUUUUAUAAUUAGUAGUAUAUAUACAUUGAAUGGUGCGUAUACACGUGUAUAUAUCUUCUAUAGAAGUGUAUAUUUAAUGUAUACAUAUGUAUAUGUUUUAUAAAUCAAUAUAUAACUAUAUCUAUAUAUAAUAUAAUGUAUAUAUAUUGUAGUAUAUUUUAUAAGUAGUAGUAUAUAUACGUUGAAUGGUGCGUAUAUGCAUGUUUACAUCUUUUAUAGAAGUGUAUAUUUAACGUAUACAAGUGUAUAUGUUUUAUAAAUUUGUAUAUAACUAUAUCUAUAUACAUUGUAAUGUAUAUAUAAUGUAGUAUAUUUUAUAAGUAGUAGUAUAAAUACAUUGAAUGGUGCAUAUACAUGUGUAUUUAUCUUCUAUAGAAGUAUAUAUUUAACGUAUACAUGUGUAUAUGUUUUAUAAAUUAGUAUAUAACUAUAUCUAUAUAUAUAUUGUAAUGUAUAUAUACUGUAGUAUAUUUUAUAAGUGGUAGUAUAUAUACACCGAAUGGUGCAUAUACACGUGUAUAUAUCUUGUAUAUUUAACGCAUAAAUGUGCAUAUGUUUUAUGAAUUAGUAUAUAAGUAUAUCUAUAUAUAUUGUAAUGUAUAUAUUGUAAUAUAUUUUAUAAGUAAUGAUAUAUAUACAUUAAAUGGUGCAUAUAUAUGAGUAAUUGACUAGUUGUGUAUAUGUGUAUAUAUUUUUAAAUUCUAAUGUAGUAUAUACUAUAUAUAGUGUAUAUAUAUUAUUUAACGUAUUUAUAAUGUAUUUAGGUGGAUAUAUGUAAUGUAUAUUGAAAGAAAGUUUUUUUUUAAUAUUUUUGACCGAGUUUGACCAAUUUUUUAAUAGAGUUUGAUCGGGUUUUUAUGGGUUUGACCGGGUUGGGUUAAGUGGAUCGAGUUAGGGUGGGUUUUAAUUUUUUUACUGUUGGUCUUGGCCCGGCCCGGCCCAUCUAGCGCCGAAACCGGCCCUUCACCCGAUUAAAAUAGAAGGGCAGGUUCUGUGUUGCCCGGCCCGGCCUGUUUGACACCCCUGCUCAAAAGUUCUUAAUUAGAGAGAAAAGUUAUUCUUCCCACUGGUAUGGUGAAGUUUGCUUCUAUGUUUGUAUAAUAAGUCAGCUAUAAUUUUGGCCUCUAUGCAACUGAUACAAGAACGACCUAUGAAGUGCUAAAACAACCCUCAAAAUGGCACAAAGUAGUCCACUAUCAUGAGAUGAACAAUCAAUACAAAAUGGAAAACAAGAUGACUAUAACUAAGAGGAUAGAUAGUGAUAAAUAAUAUAUGCCACGUUAUAGGCAAUAAUAUGUAUAUUAAACAUCAAAAGACAAACAACAUGAAUACAAGACACCUACACUCUUACGGAGACCUCGAGGGAAUCGAAACUCCCAAGCAACCACCGUUUCUGAGCAAGUUAACAACACAAGGAUUCCACCUUGACAAACAUUCUCAAUGAUUUUACAAGAUAUAUCAUCAAAGUUCUAAAUGACAAAAUGACCUAAAUAUUCUAUUUAAAGAUUAGGGCAACACUUAUUACAAAAAUAACCAAAAGGCCCUUAAUGAGCCCAAACAAAGGGGUCGCCUUGUAGUGUACUCCUUGGACAGUUUUGGAGUGUUGGGACUUGUUCUCAAUGCUUCAAAGAUUGUUCCUUGGAUGGGCAGCCCCACAAGCUCAGGUGUUCACUCAUGUUUUCAUGUCCUCGAGUGCUAAGAUGGCUCUUUGACCUGUAUCAUCUUCUUCUCGUUAAAAAGGAUUCGUCCUCCAAUCCAAACCUUGCAAAAUAAUAGAAAAGAUAAGAAAACAAGUUCCUCAAGGUAUGAGGGUUAGGAUUAGUGUAAUCAGUCAUAGCAUCUUGCUAAGGUGGCUAAAAUUUCACAUACAACCAAACAUCCCUCUUACCCGAAUACCCUUCCAAGAAAGAAUAAAUUAGGUAACUCAUAUAUGUAUGACAAGAAACAAUGAACAAGAGUUGCUUAUCAAGUGAAAAACUUAGACUCUUCUUGGAACAAAAAAUAGGCUUGAAAGCCGGGAUAGGAAAAACAUACAUUCCAUACACAUUCAAGUCAUUCCAAAAGACAUCAUCACCGUAUUUCAUAUGAUCACCGGGGUCAAAUAGGUGGAGUGUCCAUGGAACGGGUUGGGAACACACUUUCCUACCCCAAUACUACUACAAUUACGAUCAAAUGUUCCCUCUAUACUCGCAUAAUAUACAACAAAAACAAUAAGAGGGUCAUCCUUAGUCAAUUGGCCAACAUGUUCAACAUCAUCAUUUUCACACAUAAGUUGGUCUUCAUGACUUUCAUAAGACAAUGUACUAUCACUUUCCACAAUGGAUUCAAUACUAGGUGGAUAAACUAGUGUAUCCACAAUCUCUAUUUGUACAUUAUCAUCACAAAAUGAAGGCACAUUUGGUUCACCUAAAGACAAACAAUCAUUCACACUUAGUUGGUUAUUAGCCUUAUUCACUAGAGUGCAAGAGUUGGUUUGAUUACCUAGUAGCUCAUGUGGAGCUUGGGCAUUCAAGGGAAUUGGAUUAGGAAAGCUUGGGUGCUCUAUCAAGUUAUCCAACUUCUUAAAAAUAUAGCUCUCUAUCCUUUCUAUUUGUCCCUCCAUUCUAUCCAUUAUUCUUUUCAUUCCUUCCAUUCGUCCUUUCAUUCUCUCCAUUUUCCCUUCAAAAGAUCCCAAGCGGCUAUCCAUGACAUCAAGCUUUGCCAUGAUGGAUUUAAACCAACUAGGCAUUUUACCUCCAUCCACCACUGUACCUAUCAAGAACUACUAAACAAACAACAAAAAAAUAGAAACACAUUAAAGGUUACCAAAAAUCAGUCCACAAUUUAUCUCAAAAUAGUCCGCAAUCUCUGAAGCUCACACUUUUGAAGUAUUCACUUUAUUGAAUUCACAAGUGUUGAUAACUCGCUUAUACUCCAAUGAGGUUACUUGGUCCCAAUUGUGACUCUAGGUCGGAGUAUAUUCUUUUUUGAAAUAACUCAAGAAAUGAUGGUUGAACUUGGACCAAAGAAAAUACUACGACUUAAAAAUGAGAAAAAUACACAAUACAACACUUAACACAAAAGAUAACGUACUAAAAAACUAAUCUACAAGCUAGUAGGUAUUUUCUAGUUUACUAAUUAUCUUGAGAAUAAAAAAAACUGAAACUAAUGGAAACAUGAAAGUGAAACUAGAAUAUUCAAUGUUCUUGAGCUCUUUGAUGAUGUGGCACUUAACUAUUGGACGUUGGAAUGUGGUUGAAGUUGAAAAAUUUUUGUUUCAAGAAACUACUAGUUCAAUUUCAUGUAUGAAAGAGGAGAAUUUCAGCCAGGUAUUGGACAAACAAGGUCUAGACUUCACAUUCAAGACUCAUAAAAUCUUUCACCUACUUUCACCAAAAUGGCAAGACAUCCUUUUGGAGGUCUUGUCCCCUUUUCCUCUUUUGGCUUGUCUACAAAAAAUAAAUUUACUCCCUUUUUGUUAUAAAGACUUUUGGGAGGUCUUUUGUUAUUUUUCCCCUUUGGUAAUGCCUUGAAAGUUUUUUCAAGACUAACAAUAACCCACACUCUCUUCCCUUUAAAUUUGGAUCAAACAACCUCUUACAAGACUUCUUUAACACAACAAAAGAACUCCAACAACAACAACAACAACAAAACUGUCCACUCUUCCCACAACAACUUGAAAUUUUUUUCCUCAAGAACUUGGGUUAGACUCAAAUAGUGUUACAGAGAAAGAAAACUAACACAAAAAACAACAAAGACAACUAAAACAACACCUAAAUCUAGACAAAAAUUCAGCCAAACAACAACAAGACUUCAGCGAAGACAUCAAACCCAUAGAAUAACUUCUUUUUAUGAGAUUUUCGACCUUGGACACUUCUUCUAAUGUUAGGAAACAAAGAUAUGACACUAGAAAAUACAAAACACACAAAAAUCACAAGAGUACUAGGAUUCAAAAUUUGGCCUAAGCACAAAAACGUGGACAGAUUACUAUUUUUGAGUUUUACAACUCUUUUUUUUAUUUUUUGAGUGAACAAUCCCAAGAUUGAUAUUGUGGGAACGAAAUCAGUGAUGACUUCGAUACCAAAUGAUAUAAGAAUGACCUAUGAAGUGCUAAAAUAGCCUAUGAAAUGGCGCAAAAUAGUUUACUAUCACGAGAUAAACAAGCAACACAAAAUGGAAAACAAAAUGAUUAUAACUAAGAGGAUAGAUAGUGAGACAUAAGGUACACCACGUUAUAUAAAAUAAGAUGUAUAUUAAACAUCGAAACACAAAAAACAUGAAUACAAGACACCUACACUCUUACGGAGACCUCAAGGGAAUCGGAACUCCCAAGCAACCACCGUUGCUAAGCAAGUUAACAACACAAGGAUUCCACCUUGCCAAACACUUUCAAUAAGUUUACAAAUAUAUCAUCAAAAUUCAAAAUGAUAAAAUGACCAAAAUGUUCUAUUUAUAGACUAGGGCAACACUUAUUACAAAAAUAACCAAAAGGCCCUUAAUGAGCCCAAACAAAGGGGUGGCCUUGUAGUGUACUCCUUGGACGAUUUUGGAGUGUUGGAACUUGUUCUCAACACUUCAAAGCUUUUUUAUUGGAUGGGAAGCCCCACAAGAUCGGGUCCUCACGUCUUCACGUCCUCGAGUGCUAAAAUGGCUUUUUGACCCGUAUCAGUAACAAUAUUAAAUAGUAACUUGGAUGAGUUGACAUAUGCCUUGGGUUUUCUUGAUAAUGAUGAUGUAAUCUUGAUGGAGUGUGUCUUUGUCCCGAAAGCAUGCUGAUCAUGAGCAGAAAGUCCAAUUUCAAAAUAAUAUACAUGUAAUUAUAUUGAAUACACCAUGAAAUAUUAAAAGUAGAGGCUAGCAGUUUUAUUUAUUGAAGUAUAGAAUUGGAGCCUUUUGACAAAGGACAUAAUUGAAUCACCAUUUCUAUUCCUAAUAGUACUACCAAUGCCAGCUAGCUGGUUAACAUAGUUUCUUCUGUCAUCAGCAUUUACCUUAAUUCAAUUAUUUGAAGGUUUGAUCCAAGUGACAAAAUAAAAGUGAAAACAAGUUUAUAUUUAUCUAAGGGAAAAGAUUUUGCCAGUACCAUUUGAAAUGCACCUCAACCCCUAUAUUACUCAUGUGAGAUUUAAUAUUGAAAAACACUUUGUAACUGGAUGAAGAAUUUUUACCAGAUCUAGAGGCACAUCUAGCUUUCAAAAUUACCCAAUAGAUAUAAAUAAGAAGAAUUUGAUGUAAAUUUUUGUCAAAUUGCUACAAAAAUUCAUAGAAUUUUUUAGGAACUCCCAGNNNNNNNNNNNNNNNNNNNNNNNNNNNNNNGAAGAGCACUAUGCAGUGAACACUUUAUGGUAACUUACUUAUUGUUCAAUUGGUGGAAAACAACAUUAGAGAUUUAACCAUUACUAGUCAAACCCCAUUCGACAAGCUCAAGACUAAGCGAUAGAUAAAGGCUGGAUUCGAUCCUAGAUUUCCAUAUGGCACUUAGAGAUGCACCAAGAUUAGCAAAGUAGUAAUUCCACACAACUUUGACUAUCACUCUUUCAAGGGAAAAGAUGGUUGAUGGUCUCUUCCUUCUAAUUCUUACUAUAAAAACAUAGUGACACAUUUUGGAUACCAAAUCUAGAUAUGAUGUUAUAAAUAGGGAUUUUCCGAUUUAAAAUUCACCAAAGAGUGAAGGACAUUUUAAAGGAACAUACCUAGUCCAAGUGUGAGUAUGGAUAUAGCUUAUUGUUGAGAUGAACAAGUAAACAUGAGCUUUAGUUUAAGGAAGCCACAGUUAGUAUAAUUAGUUAAUUACUAUUUAUAGCUAACUAAAAAAGUUAGUUAUAGUCCCGAAGGUUGUUGAGACCAGAAGCUUCUUAGCUCAUGUAUUUAUAUCAAGAUUCUACAUAAUAUCGAAAAGUAUUGAAUACAAUCAAUAUAUAUUUUAACCUCUUAAUCAGUUACUCAUACUCUUUCUCUCUCUGAGAAUUUUGUGAUUACCUUCUUGAUUCGAGCCACAAUCAGUUGUAUAUUUUAACCAUUUAAAGUGAAAUUUCUCAUCAAUUCUCUGAAGAAUGGAAUCUGAAAAUGCUUCUGGAGAUAAAGAAAGCAGGAGUCAGGACUGCAACCUCCAACACUACUCAGGCUUUGGAUCACAAUCGUCUAUUAUACUUGCACUCCACUGAUGUAGGUGGUAUUUCUUUGAUCUCUCUACAACUUACUAGUUCUACAAACUACUCUUUAUAGAGUAAGUAUAUUAGAAUUGAUCUACUGGGUAGAAAUAAGCUAGAAUUUGUCGAUGGUUCUUGGAAGAAAUAAAGUUUGUAGAGCUCAAUGAAAAUUUAAAUGUAAUUUUUAAUAUUUUAAUCUUCAUUUUCUUCAAAGGCGGAGAGGGACAUCCCUCACUAAAAUAUGAUGAUAGUAAUUAAUUAAUAUUAAAUUAUUGUAGCGAGAGAUUUCGAUCCCUCGCUAAAUAAUAACAAAUAAAUUCAUAUUUCAAAUAAAAUUUAAAUAUAAUUUAUAAUUUUUUUUUAGCUGGUAAUAAAAAAUUAGUAAAAAAUAAAUGAAAAUAAAAUUUAAGUAACCCAAGGAGUCCUUAAUAUGAUACAUAUAACAAUUUUGUGAUUUUUUUUCAUUGUCGUGAGGAAAGUAUCUAGCUAUAUUAAAUAUGUUAACUUGAGUAUUUAAUUAACAACCCUAGUAUAGAUUUGUAGAAAAAUAAUAACAAUGUUAUCGACUGUUUGAUCCCUCAAUAAUUGCUUUAAAACUUUUUUUCUUUUCAUACUACUAAAUUUAAUUAUUUUUCUACAAAUAACAAAUGUGUAUAUAUAUAUAUAUAUGUUGUUCGCAAACAGGGUGUGCAUGAGGAAUUUUUUCUCACUUAAUCAGUGAAAUAACCAUCAUCAUACCACUAUUAUGGAUCAUCAUCACUAUCCACAUAUGAAUAGUCAUGGAUAGACCAUUGUUCUUUUACAAGAUGAUCUAUAAUUUUUUCAAGAUUUUUUUCUUCUAAAUCUUUAUUUAAUUUUAGCACCUUUAAAAUGGUGAUCAAUGUUUUUUCAUCUAGAAAAAUAGUGUAAUAACUCUUUAGGCAGUAUAAAGAACAUAUUUCUUUAUCUUAGUUUUCUAUUUUUUUUAACAGAAAAACCUGUGUGUUUUUUAGAGCAUGAUU